ACACGGGAUCUGACCUAAAGACAUUGGAGGACCUUGAGGAUUCACUGGAAUUCUGGUUGGCAUACAAACCACAGAUUUUAGAGCAAAGAAAGGAUGAAUUCCACACUAUUCAUUAAUAUUUAUAGCAGAAGAGUGACGUCAUGAGGGACUGAGAUUGUUGUUCAACGGUGAAGUGCCUGCCAAGUUUGUGGGAGGCCCUGGGUUCAAUAAUUUAUGUACCCAGAAAUCCAUUUUCCAUAGGUUUCUGAAGUCUGUGGUGGCUCUUGAUAGCCUUUAAAGAUCUGCUGUAUGUAAUAAAUCAACCAAUAAGAGAGAUAGAAGCUUAUGUUAUCCUGAAAGUAAAUCAGUAACGAAAAUGUAACCAGUAUAUAUAAAGUUUCCCUUCUGUCUAAUCUUGUUCUCUGUCUGUCUCUGUCUCUCUCUCUGUCUCUCUCUCUGUCUGUCUCUCUCUGUCUGUCUCUCUCUGUCUCUCUCUCUCUGUCUGUCUCUCUCUGUCUCUGUCUGUCUCUGUCUGUCUCUCUCUGUCUGUCUCUGUCUCUGUCUCUGUCUCUGUCUCUCUCUCUCUCUCUCUCUCUCUCUCUCUCAAAUGUCUUCUGAAUUCUAGCUUGGUUGCCAGGAAUAAUCUCUCCUAUGGGUCAUCCUCUUAGCUUCAGUGGCUGAGUGUAGCACUCCCUCAGCUAUGAACGAAACUCCGAAUAAACUAAGAGCAUCAUUGACAUUUCCUUACUUCCCCCUGGGAAACCUUUGUAAAGAAAGCCAAGAGGGGAGGACGAUGGGAGGAGUGAGGUCUGGCACCACAUCAGGGACCAUCAUAGAGUCAGUCCAGCCACUCUUGUCAUCAAAUGCUCAAAGUUGGUCUGAAGGAGCAAGCUGGGAGUGGAAACUGGAGAAGGGAAGAGUCUAGGAGCAGGACAUGGCGGAAACUGCAGAGGGGAGCCUUUCUGGGCAGCCUUGUGCACCAUUGCUGUCCAAAGCCUGGAUCCUCACUCACUAGCAAUGUGGUGUCAGCCCAGGUAUUGGACUUCUGUAGCCAAACAAGGGUCACAGAAUGUCUGCCUUGCGCUGGGCAUGAUGGUACAUGCCUGCAGUCUCAGCACUCAGGAGGGUGGGCCAGCACAACUCUGAAAGCUUGAGGUCAGCCUGUGCUACUUAGCAGAAUUCUGAUCCAGACCAUUCCAACGCUGCAAAGCAACUCCAAGGGAUGUUAGCAUGGUUAAAUGAUUUAAAGGUGGCUGGAGCAUUUAAGUGUUAACCAAACAAACAUAAGAUGCAUGUAAACUGCCCAUUACAUCAUAGGCGUGUAACUGGGUCAUUGUUUAUUACAUAUCAAUAAGUGCUAGGCUGGAGAGUUGGCUCAGCGGUUAAGUGCACUGGCAACUCUUGAAAGGGACUCAAGUUCAAUUCCCAGCACCCACAGGGUGGCUCACACCAUCCAUAGCUCCAGUUCUAGGAGAUCUGACGCUCUCUGCGGGCACCAGCCAUGUAUGUGGUACACAUACAUACAUUCCAGCAUAAUACUCGUACAUAUAAAACAGUAAAUUUUUACGAAAGCAGAGUGCUGUCUUCAAUCCUUCUGUGACCAGUUUUCACCUCUAAGGAAGAACAAUUACUCCCUAUCGUGUGCUAAAUCACUACCUAGCAAUAGGAAUUCUUAAAUGGGUCUACCAGAAACAAGUAAGUCUUACUGAAAAUAUUUUAAGAAUUUUUUUUUUUUGCUGAUAAUGAAAAUGCAGUUUCUUAACAGCACUUCCCUAAAAUCUAUUCAUAAUAUAUUCCACUAAAGAGUGGGUGCCAUUUCACUCCAUGAAACAAGGCCAUCCUUUUUAAUUUCAGAAGUGUCUUUUCCCAGACAAAUGAUGAAUGUCAUGUGGACCUUUGUGCAUAAAAUGCAAUGAUUUUUUUAGACACAAACUUCGGGGCUGAGCUGCCAAGUCCGCAUGCUUCUUUUCACGGUUUGCCAGCACAAAGAGCUCCUUGGGGAAAACAUUUGUUAAAUGAGAAAGGCCACGUCAUAUUGAAGGACUUGCGUGGAGAGACGGUUAGCCUUGGCCUCAGGACUCAAGAUCAAGUAGCUGCUGUUUCCUCCUCUGCCGCAGGAUUAUUAAGUAAAUGAAAGACUGAUUUAUAUGUGCAUUUGCCCUUAUUAUCUUGCUGGAGUCCAGAGUAUGGCCCGGAAUACAAAAUUCACAUCUGGGGAGUGAUGUGCAGAAGGCACCGGCUCUCAGAACAAGACUAACAGACUAAUAUUUUGGUUUCCCAUCAGCCCACGGGACCUAAAGCCAAUUGUUCUCUUUGGCUUCCAAAUCAAGUGGCUCAUUGGCUAUGCUAAUGAGCUUUCUAGUUCUCAUACCCUCCACAGAGCCACCUAAUUAAACAGUAGCAUCUGCAAACCCAGAGAGGUGACAAAUGUGUUAGGUUGGGUCGAAGAGUGGAAAACUACCAAAAUCUACUAAAAGUACCAGAAUGUUUAUGGAGAGAGAGAGAGAGAGAGAGAGAGAGAGAGAGAGAGAGAGAGAGAGAGACGGAGAGACAGAGAAAGGAAGAGGAGGAGGAGGAAGAGGAAGAGGAGGAGAAAAAGAGACAGACAGAGAGAGAAAGAGAGACAGAGACAGAGACAGAGAAAUCUAGCAGGGGUGUAAGAGUCCUGAGGUAUUUCCAGGAAGCCACAAGAGUCCUGAAAAUACAGUUACUAUUUAUACAUGCAAAUUAUGUGCUUCGUUAUUAUACAGAGGCCGUAAGCCAGGGGCAUCACAGACUCCAGUGUGAGCCUUUGGGCUUAAGUACAGCUCUGUUAUUUUACAAAUGAAAACAAACAAAUGAUAAUAUCUGUUGUAUUUCAUAGAGAUGUUGAAAGGAUGAAAUUUGUGUCCUGCCAAUGUUUUGUAAACUAUUCUUUCUAGAUUCUCUUUGUAAAAGUACUGAGGUUGUUACAGUUGGAAACAGACUCUCACUAUGUUGCCCAGGCUGACCCCCAAAUUCCUAACUUUAAAUGAUCCUCCUGCCUCCCACUCCUAAGUAUGAGACUGUAUGUAUGCCACCAUACCUAACUUCAGUCUCAGUUUUGUAUUAAAAAAAUCUUUUGGGGUUGGGGAUUUAGCUCUGUGGUAGAGCACUUGCCUAGCAAGUGCAAGGCCCUGGGUUUGGUCCCCAGCUCCGAAAAAAACAAAAAAGAAAAAAAAAUCUUUUAUCUCAUGUGCAUCAGCGUUGUGCUUACAAAUAGACCAGGGCACCACGUGCACACAAUGCCAGUGGAGGCCAGAUGGCAUUGUUACAGGUGGCUGAGAGCGGUCAGGUGGGUACUGGGAAUUGAACCUGGGUCUCUCUGCAAAGCAGACAGUGCUCUUACCCACUGAACUAUCUCUGCAUGCCCCGGCUUCUGUCUUGUGGUAUGGCUCCUUUUACCUUUCGGUACACCUAAUUAAACAGUAGCAUCUGCAAGUAGGAUCUUAAACAGGGUGCACUACUGAAUCAUUACACACGUGUUUGCUGCUUUGGGGUAAUGUAGUCAUCCCGACCACAUAAAGUCCUAGGGGAGUUACAUAUGGCUUCCAGAGCCAGCUACAGUCUAUAGGACAAGGCCCAUUGUCUAGGAAAGGCUCAUGUGUAUAACGAAGAGGAAGAAGAGGAACCAUGGCAUAUCUACAUUCACAUUGAAAUCAAUAUUUUAAGACUGUUAUAUAGAGGGUUAUUUAAAAAUGUCAUCUACUGAAAACGUGGUCAGUGUGCAGGCCGGCAUUGCAGCAUUUAAUAUUGCUUAGAUCAAGGGAUAUGACGCUUAAUGGAAAUGAACUUUAAAAGUCAGCUUUGACAAAUGUUAAUAUACGUGGGAUAUACAAAUACAAAAUAUCGGGACUGGAGAGAUAGUUCAGUAGCUGAGAGCAAUGACUGCUCUCUAAGAGGACCUGGGUUCAAUUUCUAGUACCCACAUUAACUGUCUAUAACUGCAGUUCCAGGGGAUCUAAUGCCCUUUCCUGACCUCUGGAGGUGCCCAACACAUACAUGGGAAAGGAGAUAUACACACAGGCAAAACUCCCAUAUGCAUAGGAUUAAAACAAAUAUAAAAUACAUUUGUGUCAGAAACACAGUUAAGCAGCAGGCAUGAAUUUACUCCAUGUCUCGGUGGGAUGUAGGCACUAAAGGGAGACCUAGGGAGAGCAUAUUCUUAAUAACACAUCGAGCUACAUGAUGGCUGUCUGUAUGAAGUGAUGAGGGGUGCGCUGGUGAAGCUUGGGUAUGUGUGUAAUUUAAUCUAAGCAAGAGAAUCUGAUAGGAGUGCUUGCAUAUGGAGCCCUGAAAAAAAAAAACAGAAACAAAAGUAAACACUGCUUUAGAGCUUACAGAUUCAAAAAGCCUCUCAGGAACUUAUUCAGUUGGAGUUUAGGGACACACACUAGUGACUGAACCUUCGAGAACACCAGUCAGACCAGCUGAGGAGAUGGCUCGGUGGGUAACAUGCGAUCUGCAUUUGAGCCCCGGGAGCCGCCUGAUGUUACGAGAAAACAGAAUCCUGAAAGCGGUCUCCUGCCCUCCACACAGAUUUUGUGGCUGCAUCUCCUCCAGGGCAAGAAUGUAAAAGCUCCGAAAGAAUUACAGGCUGACUCAAAAGGUGGGGCAGAGAGAGGGAGGAAGGGAGGAAGGUCAGGCUUCCAAAAUCUUUCGUUUUUCCAAUUCUUUUCCUCACAUAGAUCAAUAAAGCUUUUUGUUUAAAACAAGCAUGGCGGUAUACACCUUGGGAAGUGGAGACGAGAUGAGAAGCUCAAGGCCAUUCUUGGCUAUAUAGAGUGAGAUGCCAGUCUGGGCUACAUGAGGCUAUUGGUUUUUUGUUUGUUUUUUUUUUUUAAAAAAGCCUUUGCUGUUGAAAUCCCAAGUUAGCCCUCUUCAUUUGUCUUCCGUCCUUGGGUCUUACGGUGUAGGGUCUUUGCAGAGAGACCCUGGCACAUGAAGGCUAGUCCUUGAGAGGGAUGACAAGAGCUGAAGUAAACCACACUCGUGAUGCAUCUAUCACUGUUUUGUCCUGAGCUUUAUUUCACCAAUCUGGAAAGUUCUAGAGUCCCUAUCAACAGAACUAGUGCAUCCAACUGACAUCUGCCUUGUGCUUACUGAUGCUGCUCUGGAAAAGACAACUUCAGGUAUUUUAAAGGGAUAGGAGGGGUUGGGGAUUUAGCUCAGUGGUAGAGCGCUUGCCUAGGAAGUGCAAGGCCCUGGGUUCGGUUCCCAGCUCCAAAAAAAAAAAAAAAAAAAAAAAAGGGGGAUAGGAAUGGUUAUUAUUUUUUAAUAAUCAGAAAGACUAGUCAAAAUAUUUUUACAUCCCAUUAAAGAAAAAAAAAGAAAAUCCUUAAUACAGUGUCUAACACUAAAUGCUGACUUGAUAGUAUUUUUCUGCCUUCUAAAUAUUUUAAAUUAUCAUUAUGAUUACUUUGAAUUUAUGUACUUAGGGUGAAACAAUGAUCUAAAUAAAAAACUUCUAUGAGUCUUUUCAUAAAGUAAUUUUAUUUAAUUGUUUUAUUUUAUAUGCAUUGGUGUUUUGCCUUUUAUAUGUAUGUCUGAGUGAGGCUGUCAGAUUAUGAAGUUACAAACCAUUGUGAGCCAGGAAUUGAACCCAGGUCCUGUGGAAUAACAGCCAGUGUUCUUAACCACUGAGCCAUCUCUCCAGUACUACCCCUCCACCCUCAGCCCCAAGGUUGUUUUUCUUUUUUUUUUUAAAUUUAUUUAUUUUAUGUAUGUGAGUAUACGGCCACUGUCUUCAGACACACCAGAAGAGGGCAUCUGAUCCCACUACAGAUGGUUGUGAGCCACCAUGUGGUUCGGGGAAAGCAGUCAGUGCUCUUAACUGCUGAGCCAUCUCUCUAGCCCUCAUUUUUUUCUUUUUCAAGACAGGAUUUCUUUGUGUAGCCCUGUCAGUCCUGGAAUUCACUAUGUAGACUAGGCUGGCUUUGAACUCAAGUGUUCCACCUACCUUUCCCUCCUGAAUUGUGGGAUUAAAGGCAUGGACCACCAUUGCCUGGCUUGAAAGACCCUGUGGCUGCAUAUACCAUGACGUACCUCAGGAAGCACCUGACAUUUGCUGGUGCUGCUGCCUGUUACUGUUGCAACCCUCAACUGACUGAUGAAAAACAGAGCCACUGAGAAACUAUGUGUCUUCAUUUGUGUGACAAACUGGGGCUUGUAAAGUUAAGUAUGCUGGGAUGUGGCUUGGUAAUAGAGAGCUGACAUAGAAUGCCCCAGGCCCUCAGUCUGAUGUCCUGGCACCACCACAAAGGAAGGAGAAAGAGAAAGGGAGAAGAAAUAUCAGAGGAGGAGGAAGGAGGGUUCGCUAGGUGCCAGUGAGGAUAGGGAGGGAGACAGAGAGGAGGUUAGAUAACGGGUGUGGAAGGACAGUUAAGUUCUUGUCUUUUGUAACCUUCUGAUAUGACUAUGGUUUAUAAAACCCUCUUAUGUAUUUCAUGAAGGGGGAGAAAGACAGACACACACACAGAGACAGAGAAAGAGACAGAGACAGAGACAGAGACAGAGAGAGAGAGAGAGAGAGAGAGAGCACGUUUAAAGGCUCCAAACACAAUGAAAUGAUGCGCUAUAAAUGCUAAUUAUACUGAUUUGAUAAUUAUACAUUGUACCCAUGUACUAAAUUAUCUCUGUACCCCACAAAUAUGUACAAUUACUAUGUCAAUUAAAGAGAAAUUUAAAAAAAAUCACCACACAAAAAAAAACCCCUAAAUAUAGAAAGCCUGAGAAUCGGAGGCAUUUGCUCUCUUGCUUUGUUUAUGUUAAGAGUAUUCUGCACGCUAAUUAGCUCAUGACCUAAUUAGUGUUCUACAUGUAAACAUGAACCAUUGUUGGCUUUGAAAUAAGAUCUGGUACAGAAGGAUCAAUGGAGGAAUACACUGAGCUAGGAGUGUCUCAGGAAAUCAGAAGAUGUGUCUGGAGCACAGACUGCAAAGGGCAGUAAUGCCCCUGGGGUUGGGCGAGGGCCUAACUGUCUGGAGGGCUGGGGUGGUGAAGUGCUGUCUGCAGCCUUCUCCGAGGCAGAGAGGUGUGGCUUUCUCUGUUAACAGGACUGGUUCUGGAAUAAGCCCCUAAAAGCACCAGUUCUCACCAGCCUUGGUCACACGGCAGCUCCCGGCAACAACUGUGGGGAGGAUAGUUUCUUAUUUUCUUUUAUUCCCUCCCCUUUUUGAUUCCAUUUAGUGUGUUAUAUCUUAAUCAAAAACAGUUCUGUGGAAAUUCUUCCUUUCUACUCUGAUACUUGUUUCCUUUCUACCCUGAUAUUUCUAGAAUUUGAAAUUGCAUUGGAGAGUCUGGAGAGGUGGCUCAGUGGUUAAGAGCACUUGCAGCUCCUCCAGAGGACCUGGGUUUGAUUCCCAGCAACCACAUACAUAGUGGGCUUUUAAUUCCACCUCCAGGGAAUCUGAUGCUUUUUUGGUCCUUAUAGGCACCAGCAUACACAUAAUGCACAUAAACUCAUGUAGCCACACACAUAAACAUAAUUAAACUUAUAAAUAGAAAAAAUUAAAAUUGCAUUUGAUUAUUAUUGUAUUAUUAUAUAUUACCACAUUUGUCAUAUUCUAGCAAGAGUUUUUUCUUUUCUCUCCACAUUUAUAGCAUAUGACUCAUUACUUCAAAAUCAUUAUGGUGAUAUUACUGUUUUCUUAUUAGCCUAUAAUUUAUUUGCUUAUGAUUAGAGUUACAAAUCUAUUAUCAGACUCAGUUGCAAACCUUGCCCAUUAGAACCAAGUAUGCUGUUAGAAGUGUUAUUUUUUCUUAACAAAUCCCAGUUUGAACUUGGUGAAAUGCUUUUCUCAAUAGGAGAGAGUUCUAUGCAUGAAAACAAAAUUAGCUGUAUCAGCCAGGAAACUCUACCCACUCAAAGUCCAUAGGAAUCCCACGCAUUUCGAAAGGGAACAAAAAGCCACUGCCACAUUUUUCUGUUACCAAAUGUAUUCUGCGUCCGGUGACUGCCAUGUACAUAUGGAUGUAUCUAGAAUGAUUGCCGUGGGGCCAACAGCUCCUCAUUGUCUUCUAGCUCUUUUGUCUGCCUCCGGCAUAAGUAAAUAAACAGCAGAUGUACUCACCACUACCUGAGUCUCACAUGUUUGCAAAUUUCGAACAUAUAACAGAGUAAAACACUGUAAAGAAGAAUCCUUGGGUGUUUUUUGGAAUCUGAACUAAGUCACCUCCAUCCAUAAAGAAGGACAGAAAGGAUCUUAUGAUUGUGUACAAACAGUGGAUUCCAACCCUGAGAUUGCAACUCAGAAUCUGCCGGCCACUGAGUAAUGGUGACGUGGUGUUAUAGCAAGGCUGGUAGAGAGGAGUCUGAGGGUUUGGCUGCCUGAGCUCCCACAGUUACCAUAGAACAUGGACAAUGAGAGAUUCGGAGAUGGUAGCUAGCCAGAAGAUACAGCAGACACACUCAGAGGCACGCAACCAAUUGGGAUCAAGUGGUCCAGGUCCUGCCUGGCCAGAGUGACGCUGGGUUCAGAGCAGGCAGAAAACAGGCUCACGAUUGGUGGAGGGACUCACAGUACUACAGUGGAUGAGAGAUACUGCCAUGACCAGGAGAUACAUUUUCUUUUGAGUUGAUUAGAGGUUGAUUGUUUGAGUUGGGCUACUUUUAAAUUUGUUUAAAGAUUUAUCUUAUUCAUUUGUGUGUAAGCCCAAAGAGGAUAGAAGAGGCCAUCUGAUC